AUGGCCUCCGCCCCUGCUUUCAGCGCGCCGCCGCCGGCCUACCGCCACACGCGCCGCCGCCGGCCUCCCGCAAGACUCGCCGCCGCCGGCCCCCGCUUCCACCCGCCAUCAGCCACCUUAAAGGGCCACCCAGUCACCUUCACCGCCGCCACAAGCGACGCGCCUCCUCCCAUGGAUGCGGUCGCCGCCCUGCGCCUCCUGCUGGCGACGAGCCCAGUCCUCCUUCCUUCUUCCAGCGACGCGCCGUUCAACGCCACCACCACUGCCAGUUCAACGCUGCCCCGACAAAUCCUGUGCGUCAACCCCCUGGCUGACUUUGCUUCUCUCAACUUCAAAAAGAGGAAUAUUAGUACUGAAUUGUUUAUGUCAGUUCCAGCCGGCAAGUGGCCCUGCACAACAACAUGCAGCAGUUCGACAGGGGAGUGUGGGUCAGUACCACGCCGACAAGUCAGGCAGACGUCCUUUGCAUCACGAACUAGUGCAGUUCGAUCUUGCGCAAGCGGGAAAUUCCCUGAUGCCGAGUGUGUCAGUACCACCCUACACAGCAGCAAUCAUUGUCUUCUUGCAGCUUCCAUUGAACAAUUAAUCCAAGGAAUUUUGGGUGGAGCAACAUUUGUCGGUCUUAGGAAUCUCGAUCAUUAUUCACCACCAGCCAUGGUGAUGGUCAUUGCUGCUCUUUCCAUCGCAUGGGAGCCGAGAAAGUUCAAAGUUCAUGCUCCUUUGUUUUUUGUUAAGUCAGGCAGAGUCAGGUCUUGCUCGGGCAUCAUCUCGUCUCCCCAAGGACAUGGUGUUGAAGCUGUCGGGCGUGCAGAGGCAGGCGGUGCUGAAGCACGGGGGCUUGUUGCUGCCAAGGGGCCGAACGACGCCCCUGUACUAGAGCAGGUAGUACUGCCUGGGCAUGUCCACCUGCGACGUACCUGGCCACGGUGGCGGCACAACGGCGUCGAGCACGAGCUGCACGCAGCGCUUGCCCAUGCAACCCGCCGCCUGCUAGCCCCGCAUCCUGCCGGCGUUCAUGGUAAGCACCCGAGCCGCCUUGGCCGCCUACUCAUCCUCCACCUUGGCCACCUACUCAUCAUGUGCUGGUCAAUGGUACAGAUUGCCAUCAUGAUACUUGUAUUGGGGGCUAGAGCUCAUGUAUUACUCCCAGGUGUUUGCUUAAAUGCUUUCCAACAAAAAGCUCCAGAAAAGUUCAUAGUUUGUUUUCAGAAAAGCUCCAUGGCAUUUCCUCGGCUGCAGCAUAGCCAAAUCCCGGUGUGCCCAGCCGCUGCUCGUGAACCCCGCCUCCAUCAGCCCCACUUCAACGGAGCCAGCAAAGUCCUUCUGCAGGGCCCAAACCCACUAUCGUGCAAGAAAAAGAAAGCAAAGCCCCAACCAUCAGCUGCUCAAUCAUCAGCUCCAGACAUCAGUUGUAUUGAGACAUGGAUGGCUCUACACCUGAAGCACAUAUAUCUGACAAGCAUGAUCACAUGUUCCCUUCAGGGUCUGAUGGCCCAUGGAGAGGCGAAGCGAAAGACGGCUCACGACCAUCCUCUAACACCCCGUCAGUGCCACCGAUUUAAAGGAGCUCCUUUGAAAAAGAACCACCCUCGCGCCACCGCGGCGCCCAGGCCGUUCACUGCCGGCACCACAGUCCGUUCACCGGUGACACAGAGGCCGUUCAACGACGCAAUGGUGAGGUCUGGCCUUUCCCCUUCCUCUUUUUAUGUAGCCUCCGAGUCGAAGUUCACCUCCAUGUGCUACUCCACUCGUAGCUCCCAGCCUACCCUCGAGCAAGUUCGUGCCGUGCACGAGAUCAGUUCAACCUGUGCACUUGGUACAUUUUUCGACCUCGACGCUUGUGGCAGUCCCACAAGGACGAGUAUGGUCUACGAUCGAGCAGUUGGUUCCCAAGCGAGUUCUUGGCUGAAGGUGGGCUUCCACGAUGAGGUGUGGAACGCAAUGUACAUGGAGAUCCUGAUGGAGUACGAUGAUGGCGAUGUGGCGCAGGUGGACCUCAUGGAGUUUGGCUGGGCUGGCGGCGGUCGGCGGUGGACGCGGGUGCAUGAGUUGUGGGGCUCCAUCUGCCGCUCGACCACCACUUACUCCCACUCUGUUCACUGGUUUUGUUUUCAUUGUCACGCCUGUUCCUCGUCGACCUGCAGCAGGAGACACGAGAUCACCCCGGCACUGCUGGUCACAUGA
rnacentral:rRNA from 1 species